UGCAUGUGUGUUUCGUUUACGUGCAAGACAGGUUUUUAAAUAAACCUUAUCGCUCAGUUCAUGAUGGAUCUAAUAAAAAGAUAAUUCAUAAAACGAGGGUGGUAGACGUUUUGUCCCAAGGAGCUGCAGGAGAAGUGACACAGAAGAAAGGCAAAGGUUAUGUGAGAUAAAGAAGAUGAUAGUGAUUGGCUUCGUGAUCUACACCUUAGUCGUCUUCAGCCGCAAUCAAUGAAGGCUUAAAAAACGAGUAUGAAAAUAAAAUUCCGGCUGAAAAAUUCACAUUUGUUUCUUUUCUCUUUGUAAAAAUAAUAUAAAAAAAUACGGUCACAUGUUUUAUUAUCAAAGCAAGACAAAGUAGCCGGAUCAUGCGAAAAUAGCAUACACAACCAGCCGAAUGGACAGGGGGGACGACAACGCCGAAACGGAGGAACAUCUCGUCGUGUGUGCAAGCGGUUCGGAAAACGAUCCGAUUUCCAGCCGGAACCGAGGGAGAAACGCGAUUUGGAUGAUUGCUUGUGACCACUCUGUUCGUCCUGUAGCUGCUAUAUAUACGUCGUUACUAUCGGGUUGUUGUACAUAAAAUGUCCGUUUUCACGGUAAAGUUUUCCUUCCAGGAACUUCCUUCAUGUUGUCCUUCUGGGACAAAGAGGUCUGCAAAUUUCGCACCCAUCAGUAAAACAAGAAUUAUAUUUCAAGGAUGGGAUUUACAUUGCCGAUCGGCGCCGAUGGUGUUUUUUUAAACAAUCGAAAUACUAUUUUACAAAACAAGGCCGGUGGAUCAGAUUCCGACCGAGUAGCGGAUUUCACCGAGGAUCCCGGCAUUAUUUGCAAUUCAUGAUAUUGCGCAAAUUUUCCUCGAACUGUUACGCGAGACUGGCGAGGAUCAGCGGGCAAGGACGAGCCAGAGGCGCGUUUGAGAAAAAUAAAACGGCCGUUUAACUCGUAGGUGUACAUGCGGCUUCGUGUUUGCCUACCUGACGGUGGAAAGCUUCCAAGCUUUUGUCUACCAGGGCGUAAAAGCAUUUUGUAAGGACGUGAAAGGAUUCGGGAGGACGCCGAGAUGCUAUUUGGGACGGCGGUCGACCCUUCUGAAUUCCAAAGAGCAGCGACUAGCAUAAUGGGAGAUAACCAUCGGCCUCUCUUCACAAAAAAAAGAUCUAUCAAUUACCACAAAUAGCAAAGCCAACAAAAGUUUAAAAUAAACAAGAUCAA